rnacentral:rRNA from 1 species
GACGAACGCUGGCGGCGUGCCUAAUACAUGCAAGUAGAACGCUGAAGGAGGAGCUUGCUCUUCUGGAUGAGUUGCGAACGGGUGAGUAACGCGUAGGUAACCUGCCUGGUAGCGGGGGAUAACUAUUGGAAACGAUAGCUAAUACCGCAUAAGAGUAGAUGUUGCAUGAUAUUUGCUUAAAAGGUGCAAUUGCAUCACUACCAGAUGGACCUGCGUUGUAUUAGCUAGUUGGUGGGGUAACGGCUCACCAAGGCGACGAUACAUAGCCGACCUGAGAGGGUGAUCGGCCAAACUGGGACUGAGACACGGCCCAGACUCCUACGGGAGGCAGCAGUAGGGAAUCUUCGGCAAUGGACGGAAGUCUGACCGAGCAACGCCGCGUGAGUGAAGAAGGUUUUCGGAUCGUAAAGCUCUGUUGUAAGAGAAGAACGAGUGUGAGAGUGGAAAGUUCACACUGUGACGGUAUCUUACCAGAAAGGGACGGCUAACUACGUG